CCAAUAAAAUUCUCCACACAAGUACAAAAGAAGUAGGAGAUCUGGUAAGCAAUAACUGGGGAUGGAAUUCUAACUCAAGAAGAAGGGACCAUAGCUCAGUGGCAGAACACAUUCUUUGCCUGAAGAUGUCCCAAUUCAGUCCCUGGCAUCUCCAAUGAAAAGGAACCAGGUACUAGCAUAUGACGGGGAAGACCUUGGAGAGUUGCUGCCACUCAGCAAACACACUUCUGGGCUAGAGCAGUGCCCAGGCACCAAAAAGGCAUCUGGAGCAGUGCUCAAAAGAAGCCAUGAAUUACAUUGAACCUUGCUUCCAGUCAGAGAUGGCAAAGAAAACAACCAAGCAAACAAGAAGUAAAGUAUGAAACAGUGGGAAACUAUAGGAGGAGAAAAGGGUAAAGAUCAGAGGAAUAUGAGCAAAGAGAUACUGAGGAGCAAAGAGGAACAGAGGGGUGUGUGUUUCUAGCUAAAAGAUCACUUCUAAACACACAGUUGCAGAGAAAAUAAAGAAUGGCUGACAGAGGAUGGUACAUCAGAGAAUUGUGUGUGUGGGAAAAGGGAUGUAUGAGGAAAUGGUGGCCUGAUCCUGCAUAUAAAAACACACAAGGUAGACACAGAAACUUUAUUCCAUCUCUCUUUAGCAACCCAAGUGCCACUGGUGUCUUGAAUAUCACCCUUCUGAACUGGACCAUCAAUUGUUUUUCUUCACUGUAGUUAUGCAUUAGAUCUGAAUAUCUAAACCACGAGUAAGGACUGGCUGAAAAGCAGGCUGUAAAACCAUGUUUUGAAACGUGUUUGCUAACCAUGUUUUGGCUUACACCAUGGCUCA